rnacentral:rRNA from 1 species
GACGAACGCUGGCGGCGUGCCUAAUACAUGCAAGUCGAGCGGACCCUUCGGGGUUAGCGGCGGACGGGUGAGUAACACGUGGGUAANCUGCCCAACUGACUGGAAUAAGCCUGGAAACGGGUGCUAAUGCCGGAUAGGCAACUGGUAGGCAUCUACCGGUUGGGAAAGGUGCAACUGCACCGCAGAUGGAGGAGCCCGCGGCGCAUUAGCUAGUUGGUGGGGUAACGGCUCACCAAGGCAACGAUGCGUAGCCGACCUGAGAGGGUGACCGGCCACACUGGGACUGAGACACGGCCCAGACUCCUACGGGAGGCAGCAGUAGGGAAUCUUCCACAAUGGGCGCAAGCCUGAUGGAGCAACGCCGCGUGAGUGAAGACGGCCUUCGGGUUGUAAAGCUCAGUCACUCGGGAAGAGCGGACGAGGGAGUGGAAAGCCCUCGUCGAGACGGUACCGAGAGAGGAAGCCCCGGCUAACUACGUG